UGUCCUGUUCACAAAAUUUCCCCAAAACAUUGACGAACCCUAAUUUCGCUAAGGGAUGUACGUUGAGUGGCCUCCAAGCUUUGAAGUUGAUUUAAAUACACAUCAAUGAAGGAAGUUUAUGCAGAUUGAUCAAGUCAUGAUAUUCACAUGAAAAAUCUCUCUCCUGCUUUGAACCGAUCUCCACUAAACCCCUGUUUUGCUUACAACUCCAUUCAAGUGCAAAUUGGACACACAGACAACUAUAAAUAUGUUAAAGUAUCCUACCACCAUGCAUAUAAAGGAGAUCACAGCUUGAGAUCUAACUGGAUGAACAAAAAGAACUGAAGCGACUUGGGCAAACAAACAUUUCAAACCAUAUGUUAAGAUGCAUUGAAGAAAGCAUUCAACCUCCACUGAUUAGCUUGGUACAUGGGUUAUGGACUCUUCAUGAUUGUAUAAUGUCUCCCACAUAUGUAUAUAUAUAGCUUGCACCAUGGUUAACUAAAGGACACUUAUCAUGGUGUACGUUUUGUAUAUUUUGACAUGGCUUUAUAAAGUGUGGUUUGUGGUAUGAUGUCUAGUACUAUGAGUACAUUGAUGCAAUGUAUGCAUAUAUGC